rnacentral:rRNA from 1 species
UACAGAGGGUGCGAGCGUUGUCCGGAAUCACUGGGCGUAAAGAGCGUGUAGGCGGCCAGACAGGUCUGCUGUGAAAACUCGAGGCUCAACCUCGAGACGCCGGUGGAAACCGUUUGGCUAGAGUCCGGAAGAGGAGAGUGGAAUUCCUGGUGUAGCGGUGAAAUGCGCAGAUAUCAGGAAGAACACCCGUGGCUAAGGCGGCUCUCUAGUACGGUACUGACGCUGAGACGCGAAAGCGUGGGGAGCGAACAGG